AGUCCGCGCUGCCAUCCUCCGCCUGAGAGGCAGCAGCAGCAGCAGCAGCAGCAGCGCUGCGGCUGUGGUCAGGCGGCUGGAGGGAGCUGCUGCAUACCUUCAAGCCUGGCAGCGAUUUCUAUUGAACGGGCGGGAACUUAAAUCAUUCGAGAUGUCGUCUAACACCAUGACGGACUGUUUUUACCUGCGGGGAAUCCCGAAGAUCCGCCGGAGCCCGGCUUCCUUUCCAGGGAACCUCCACCUGGUCUUGGUGCUUCGACCCACCAGCUUCUUCCACCGCACUGUUACCGACAUUGGCUUUCGCUUCAGCCAAGAGGACUUCAUGCUCAAGAUGCCAGUAAGGCAGCUCCUCCUCAGUUACCAAACAUGUCCCACUUCACUCAAAGGUGGUGAUGCUGAGCUCUGUCACAGAUCUGCUGCGCUACAUUGAUGAGAAUCAGCUGACUUCAGAGUUUGGAGGGACGUUAGACUAUUGUCACAGUGACUGGAUUGUUUUAAGAACGGCUAUUGAAAGUUUUGCUGUGACGGUCAAAGACAUUGCACAGAUGCUUCAGGGCUUUGGAUCUGAGCUGGCAGAGACAGAGCUGCCUGAUGAGGGGAAAGCCAUCGAGUAUCUACUUGAAUCUCACACUGACAAGUACAAGAAACUCAAAGAUGCAAUCAGGUCGGUGUCAAAGGAGGGUCGUCAUCUUCUAUUAAGCCUGGAGACCUCUGGGAAGGAGGAUGACUCCCAGUGGGAUGUAAAGAUGGACUGGGAGACAGUACAGAGGCUUCUUGCACAGCUCAGAGACAUGGAGUCAGCCUUCGAUGGCUUCUUUGAGAAGCAUCACCUGAAACUCCAUCAGUACCUGCAGUUGCUCAGAUAUGAGCAAAGCUUUCAGGAGAUGGAGUUGUGUCUGGAGCAUCUGAUGUCUCAGGAGAGGGAGCUUUCUGUAUCUGUAGACUCUCUGGUCCAAACCGAGCAGGCUCUGAAAAGAAUGGACUGUCUGGAAUCAAAUGCACAGGAUGUGAUGGCUCGGGCUCAGAUCAUUAUCCUUCAUGGACACCAGCUAUCAGCUGGUCAUCACUACGCCAUGGCCCUUAUUAUGCAGCGCUGCAACGAGCUUCGCCACUACUGUGAUACACUCAAUGCUGCUCUGAAGACCAAACACACCAGUCUUCUGCAAACACACCAGCUGCUGCUUUGCCUGGAACAGGCCCUAACUUGGUGUGAUGACGGAGCAUACAUGCUGGCCAAUCAGCUGGUAGAUAAGUUUCAAUCUAAAGAGGGCGCCCAGGCUGCUUUAAAGGAAAUUGAGAGGUUCCUGGAUGGGGCGCCAUCAAUACUGAGCUCCGGACCUGAUGUCCUGACCAUCGAAUAUGAGGCAGUCAUCACAGCUCAGCUGCAGGCUCAGAUUGGGGAAACAUUCGUGAAGCAUGGCGCAGUGCAGCAGAUGAUCCAGAACCGACAGGCUUCUCUAAGGAAGCUGGCUGAUAAACAUGUGCGACCUGUCCAACUGGUGGCCCCCAGGCCAGAAAACCCACCACGCGCCAAGUCUCCACUCUUCUCCCCCAAACAUGGUGAUGGUUUGAAGUUCACGUUUGACAUUUCUCUGCCUGGGAAGAGAGCAUCUCGAAAGAGCCCUAAUACUAGAAAAAUAGAGGUCAUGCACGACUACCAGGAGAGCCGGAGCUGUGUGUCGUACAGUCUGGAGGGUGAGGACAGCCCGGAUCUCUUGAAACGUCAUGUGAUGAGGGAGCUCAUAGAGACGGAGAGAAUCUAUGUGGAAGAGCUGCUGUCAGUUUUGCUGGGCUACAGGGCUGAGAUGGACAACCCAGCUCUGUCAGGGCUCUUGCCUCCGAUCCUGCGCAGCAAGAGGGACAUCCUGUUUGGAAACAUGCCUGAGAUUUACAACUUUCACAGCAGGGUUUUCCUUCAGGACCUUGAGGGAUGCCUGGAGGCUCCUGAAGGCGUGGGAGCUUGUUUUUUGCAGCGGAAAGAGAGUUUCCAGAUGUAUGAGAGCUACUGUCAGAAUAAACCUCGCUCUGAGGCUCUGUGGAGACAGUUUUCAGACUGUGCCUUCUUUCAGGAGUGUCAAAAAAAGCUGGAGCACAAACUGGCCCUGGAUUCCUACCUGUUGAAACCAGUCCAACGCCUCACUAAAUACCAGCUGCUGCUUAAGGAACUACUGAAAUACAGUUCAGACUGUGAGGGGACUUCUGAGCUGCAGGGGGCGCUGACAGCAAUGCUGGACCUGCUUAAAUCCGUGAAUGACUCCAUGCAUCAGAUUGCCAUCACAGGAUAUGAGGGUGACAUUUGUGAGCUGGGCCGUGUGUUGAUGCAGGGCUCCUUCAGUGUGUGGAUCAGCCAUAAGAAAGGUCCCACGCGCAUGAAGGAACUGACACGUUUCAAGCCGAUGCAGAGACACCUCUUCCUCUACGAGAGAGCUCUGCUCCUCUGCAAGCGGAGGGAGGAGCACGGAGACGGCUGCGAUAAGACUCCCUCGUACAGCUUCAAGAACUGUCUAAAGAUGACUGCUGUGGGGAUCACAGAGAAUGUCAAGGGAGAUGUGAAAAAGUUUGAGAUCUGGUACAGUGGCAGGGAGGAGGUGUAUGUGGUUCAGGCUCCCACAGUGGAAGUGAAGAUGGCCUGGCUCAAUGAGCUCCGCAGGAUCCUGACCAACCAGCAGAAACUGCUAAGAGAUGAAGCGUAUCACGGCCAAAUGGGUGGACACAUGCAGCUCUCUCCCUCCCUCUCAGAGAGCAAGCAGCAGAGGGCAUCGGUGAGCUCAGAGGACACUGAGUCCGGGAGGAGCAGUCCAGACCCCCAGCCUCACUCCCCUAAACACCAGCACAACCGAAGGACAGUUCAGGUGUACUUUGACCUGAAGAGCCAGGUACAUCGAGGAAUUUGGGGGAGAAAGGUCCAACUACUGAGAUUAGCUUUUGAUUCUACGUUCUUGUUAAUUUCCCAGCUGGCCCGGAGCGCCACACUCAGUAGACAUCUGCGAGGGCCUGGAGGAGUGGUCUGGAGGUCAGGACGCCUUCCACCCAUCUGACACAGAGGACGAGGUUUUGGUGUCACUGUCUCCGGGCAGGUACAGGGUUUUGGCUGACUGCCUUCAAAAUGGACCAGACAGCAUCCCCAUCAAAUGUGGAGACGUCAUCCAACUGCAGUGUGAAGACAACAGGGGGCGCUGGUUUGUGAAAAAUCUGAGUCGGCGUCAGGAGGGCUUCAUGGCAGCUGCCAGCCUGCAGCAGAUUUUAGCAGAUUACAGUCGUGGACACAACUCGAGACUGGCGGAUCCAGGGACACGAAAGGCAAGGAAGCUCAGCUCCCCGUAAAAAAGGAACUACAGGAUAUGUCAGAUUUUGACCUGUGGACAGUGACCAGACAGAAGGAUUCAAUUGAGCCAUAGUUGUCCAACCUCUCACUCUGUGUUGUUGCCUGAUCUCUUUGGCACAUUUCAAUCAAUGAAGAGAAAAGUAUGGAUUCCACAGACCUGACUUUCCUUCAGGGUUUUGACUGUUGAUCAUCUGGGCCAGUGUUCCCUCAGAGCAAAUAUAUAAAGGAACAGGAACUGUACAUUCUCAUCAGACAAUCAACAGCCCAUCCUUGGAUCCUUAUCUCGACCCUCUAUUCUGAGUGGUGAUGAGUCUUUUUGUCUUUUUCUGGCACUACAUCUGCAACACAAACACAGUGUCAGAACGUGAGGUCUCUGCUGCGGCAGCAGGUCCUUUCACAAUCCGUGGACAUUUUUUUCAACCCCUGUCUCAAUCCAGCUACAUUAUAACUCUGAGUGUGUAGUCCUGUUUGUGUCAGUGCGUGCUUUAUGGACGGUAACCCAGGAUUUGCCUGAUACAUUUCUUAAAGCCCAGUCUUUUGUACAUAUAAUUGUCAUUUUUAACAUUAACGGUACCUCAGUGUUUCAUCUUUGUGUGGCGAGUUGACAUUUUCCAUUGAAGGAAUUCAUUGUAUUUUUUCUUAAAUGUCAUACCUUAAGGCACCUUUCCUUCUGUAGACAAUGUAGGAGUUAAAAUGCCAAAAUGUGCCAUGCCAUAAUGCCUUUUUUAUUCCUGCUCUUUUGGAAUCUCUGUUUGCAAAAUCAAAUACUCUGUUACUGCUUCAACGUGACCUCACAAAUACCAAACUGGCACUUUAAUAAGGUGGACGGACAAUAGACUCAAAUCCACCUAUUGUGUACUGAAUGUGUGCUUUGCUUGCCGCUUUACCUCUCUCUCUGUAUAUUUUUUCUUAUUCAUGCUGUCUUUUCCUAUGUUUAUUGAUUUUAUGACAUGUUAGCGAGGCAGGGGAGACAUACCCCCCUGCAUGCAGGCAGCCGUUGUCAUGUCACUGAUGCUAAUGUAAGACACGGGCGGACAUGGUGAAGAUUGACGGCAGUGAAUUCCUCUGUGGGUGCCGUAGAUGAAUUUAGGCUCUUGCCACCGAGCACCAAAAACUCUCAUCCUCCUGGAUCUUUUGGGAACCCACUGUCAGUCAAAGCGGAAGAAAAGGGAGAGUGAGGCAGAGCAAAAGAAAGAGAGCGAGCUGUGUGUACCCCUCUGUUGCUGAGGCAGAUUGUUUCCUCCUCACCAUUACAGCCCAGUUUAUCCUGGGUUCCCCAUUAAAAGGGAUCAUACAGUUAACAUGA